rnacentral:tRNA from 2 species
GCCGGAGUGGCGGAAUAGGUAGACGCAGGGGACUUAAAAUCCCCCGGGGUUAAAGCCCCGUGCCGGUUCGAGUCCGGCCUCCGGCA